UAUAUGGUGGUGUGGGACUACCUCUUUGGGCGUGCCUAUGCACUGCAGGCUUCCAUCAACCAUGAUACAAAGCCUGUCGCAAAGAGUUUCAGCUUCUUCCAUGGAAUGUGCUGCCAUGAAUUGCAAAAAACACUCCAGAGACUCUUCCUUGAAGCAGGGUCUAAUCCAGUGCUAGGCUCAUCCAUGUACACAACCUGAGGCGCAAUUACAAAGUGUUAGCAUGCAGUGACUACUUGUGGUCCUACAGAAAUGUUAGAUUCUGCAGAAAGAAAUACUUUAGCAUCUCCGAUCAGAGAGAUGGCGACACUCAGGCGCCUCCUCAUGCCACCACUGUACUUCUUCACUUGCUUAUCGGGAGCACCACCAUGAAGCAAAUUUACACUCCUUAAAGACUCAUCAACGGCCUGCAAAAGUUGUCAUUGUGCUGUCAGGUACAAGAAGGAUGGGUCAAUACCAUGGGAAAAAAGAAACAGGACAUCUGAUAGUCUACAUUGUGACAUUUAAAAAGGAGCCUGUGAUUCAAGAAAGCAUGGUUAAAUUUUCCAGCAAUGUGUGACUCAAAGAAAUAUAGGAGAAGAUAGAAAAGAAAAAUAGCAGUGGUAUGAACAAAAUUCUAACAAACAUGUUUUAGACAAAAAAAAAUAAAGGGCUGGACUGAAAAGACUAUAAAGGCCUGGUUUGUCAGCAGCAUAGUUUAUCAGCAUGGGUAGAUAAUUGAGCUUAGAUAGUUUAUCAUGUAGAGGGAUCUGAUGACAAACC